rnacentral:rRNA from 1 species
AUUGAACGCUGGCGGCAUGCCUUACACAUGCAAGUCGAACGGUAACAGGUUAAGCUGACGAGUGGCGAACGGGUGAGUAAUGUAUCGGAACGUGCCCAGUCGUGGGGGAUAACGUAGCGAAAGCUACGCUAAUACCGCAUACGAUCUACGGAUGACAGCGGGGGAUCGCAAGACCUCGCGCGAUUGGAGCGGCCGAUAUCAGAUUAGGUUGUUGGUGAGGUAAAAGCUCACCAAGCCUGCGAUCUGUAGCUGGUCUGAGAGGACGACUAGCCACACUGGAACUGAGACACGGUCCAGACUCCUACGGGAGGCAGCAGUGGGGAAUUUUGGACAAUGGACGCAAGUCUGAUCCAGCAAUGCCGCGUGCAGGACGAAGGCCUUCGGGUUGUAAACUGCUUUUGUACGGAACGAAACGGUGAGCUCUAAUACAGUUUGCUAAUGACGGUACCGUAAGAAUAAGCACCGGCUAACUACGUGCCAGCAGCCGCAGUAA